rnacentral:rRNA from 1 species
UGGGGAAUAUUGCACAAUGGGCGCAAGCCUGAUGCAGCAACGCCGCGUGAGGGAUGACGGCCUUCGGGUUGUAAACCUCUUUUAGCGAGGGAAGAGCAGAAAGUGACGGUACCUGCAGAAAAAGCACCGGCUAACUACGUGCCAGCAGCCGCGGUAAUACGUAGGGUGCAAGCGUUGUCCGGAAUUAUUGGGCGUAAAGAGCUCGUAGGCGGUCUGUCGCGUCUGCUGUGAAAUCCCGAGGCUCAACCUCGGGCCUGCAGUGGGUACGGGCAGACUAGAGUGCGGUAGGGGAGAAUGGAACUCCUGGUGUAGCGGUGGAAUGCGCAGAUAUCAGGAAGAACACCGAUGGCGAAGGCAGUUCUCUGGGCCGUAACUGACGCUGAGGAGCGAAAGCGUGGGGAGCGAACAGGAUUAGAUACCCUGGUAGUCCACGCCGUAAACGUUGGGCGCUAGAUGUGGGGACCAUUCCACGGUUUCCGUGUCGCAGCUAACGCAUUAAGCGCCCCGCCUGGGGAGUACGGCCGCAAGGCUAAAA